UUCUUCCCCACGCCGCCACCUCCCAUCUCAGCUGCAGAUCUCGAUCUCGAUCUGUCUGGUUUCUGAACCUCUUUUCCGUUCCUCCUUCCCGGGGGAUUUCUGUUCCCAUCUGGGUUUGAGCACGGUGGGGGAUCGAUAUUCGGUCUCGUUCGUCGUAACUGUGCAUCGGAUUACAAAUACCUGAUCUGUUCUUUCUUGUUUUUUCUGUUCUUGAUUUGUUUUUUUUUUUUGCUUAUCGGUGGCCGAGGAUUAAAAUGAAUUAUAUAGACAAGCAUAUGUCUGAAUUCUCUUCAUGUGGAACGAUCUAAUCUUCUCUAUGAGGCCAGCGAUCUUGCUCGUUUCUUGAUCUGCAGUUUUAUUAGAUGCGUUCCGUGGUUGCGUGGUGCCGAUGAUGAUUAGUGUGAACCUUUCUCAAUGAAAUCACUAAUGAUUACAUAACCUACUGCCUUCCUUCCGAGGCGCCACGAUUCCUGGUUCCCUCGUCCUUUUUCGCCAGUUUUGUUCUUGUUUGUCUCUGGCGCUAUUGGUUUGCCAAGGUCGAAUGAUGAUCACAAGUGCAUAGUUCAUAUGAUCAAAUCGUGAUUACUUGAACAAAAAUAGUCUUUCGCUCCUAUCUGACGACCCUACACCCUUCCCUCUCAAACAAUUUGUGUGUUAUUUUGCUUGUUAUGUUUUGCAACCUCAUGUCUGAAUUUGUUGUAAAGGAUGGUGAAGAUUGAUACAGUAUUUGCCUUGCCGACAAUCCUGCUUAUUUGACAUAAUGGACAAGCAUAUGUCUCAAUUAUCUUCAUGUGGAAAGCAUAAUUAGCAAUGAGGUGAAAAUCUGAUUGUUUUUGUACCAGUAUAACGUGUCUGAGGUAGGCUGACUAUCAAAUGUUUAUAGUCACAGAUGACCAAACUGUAAUUACAUCAACAAAGUAGUCUUGAGCUUGUAGCUGAUGAAAUUUAGCUUCCCUGUUUAAUUUCAGUUAAAAUUUCAUACGAGAAACCAUACCUACUCAGUAAAGCUAUUUCGAUUUGAGGAAUAAUUUUGGAGAAUGUUUUAUUUACUCGAAUUUGGAGCAGUGGCGAGGCAAUCACUCAAUAUCUUUCCGGUUUGUUUAAUUGCUAUGUUCUUACCUAGCUUUGUGUACAGAACUCCCGUUCUACUACACAUUAGGCAGAACCUCACAUAGUACUUGUUCAUGAACUUAUUGUCAUCUCAAGAAAAAGAGACUUGUUGGGAUAAUAGAGAAAUGACAGAAUUGAUUAGGUGGCACUAGCAUAGUUAGCUGUUUUUGAAUUGGUAGACCAUCUACAAUAGAUACUUCGAUGUUUGCAAUAAUUCUCUAAACCAGUUUGAGGAUGAUGAUUACAUAUUUGUCGCCCCAGUCUUAGAUCCCCCUAGCGGAUCUUUGCUGAUUGACAUACUUCUGAAUCUGACUCAGCAGAUGAAAAUUUUGACAGUUGGGUUGAUUUUCUUUUCUAAUUUUCCUUGGGUGAUGGCAGUGACGAUUUGCAAACUUCAAGCUCAACAGACCAAAUCACAGGUUUUCUCCUAGUAGUUGAUUUGUAUGCCGAUUAUCCCGCUUAACCGAGCCAUCUGACAGAGUUCUUAAAACUGCUGCUCAAUGUUCUUAUCUCUGGAUCCUUCACUUCCAUGCUACUUUUUGUGUUUAUUUAUUUUUGCUUGUAUUGGAGGAAGUAGUUGCCAUGAGGAUAACAAGCCCCCUCUUCUGAAAGCAUCGAUGGCAUUCAGGGGCGGAUCCAGGCCCCCAGGGCCCAGGCCUGGGUUGUGAGGCCCAUACGCAGUGUAUAUUGUAGUAGUUACUGUAGACAUCUGCUACAGUGUACAAAGGCGUCCUGGGGCGGCCCACUGGGCUGUCUCCGCCCCUGAUGGCAUUGCUGGCAGAAUUGAACCAAUUAAAUCUUGCCACCACUAAGCAACUCUGUUUCUUCGUACAAUCUUUGUUGCUUCUUACUUCUACAAGAUCUGUUUGGAUCUCGGGGAGUAUUGAUGCAUAAUCCAACACUUGAUCUGAGGGCAGCUUAAGCCACCCAUAUGAUGUCAUCUUUGCAACUUAAUCCGUCAGAGUUCAGUGUUAUAUUUUCUGAAACAUAGAAACAAUCUUAGGACACCUUCUGAGAGAGUGCUUAAUUUUCUGUGAAUAAGAAGUCAUUUAUAUUCUGAUACAUCUUGUUUUCAUCAUUUUUUACCAUCUUGUCUUCUAAGUUAGAUCUAUAUAAUGCAAUUGAAGCCCAUGGUGAUUAGCUUUAUGUUGGAAUUACCGUCAGAUACCCAAUGACGAUAUUUUUGCGGCUUUCUGAGGCAUAAAACCAAUCGCUUCAGGUCUUGUAGUUUUUGCAUUGUUAAUUUCGUUCAUCUUAAAUUAUCCCUGUGAAGAUUCUCAGACCAUAGGAAGUGCUGACAACAGCUGCUUCUCUCCACUUCAAAUGUCCUCCUUUGAGCAUAGCCUUUGUGGUUCCAUUUGCAGCUGGUUUGGUUCAGCUGUGUGCGUGAUUUUAAGCGGGUCUCCGAGAGAUUCUCUUUAAUCUUGUUAGCUUUGUAUUUGGCCGGUCCAUAGUGCCUGUUAUUGUGAUGAUUUUUUUGUUAUGAGUAGUUAAUCAGUUGUGAUCAAUAUGAUUUGAUUAUUUGAUGAUGUGUUAUGGCAAUGAUGAUAAAUUAAAGGCUUGUUUCUCAAAACAUUCGCAGUUGCCGCCUAAGAGCUUUCGCCCUGCCAGGCUUGAGAGCUAAUGCUGCUAAUUCCUUCCUUGGAUGUCUGAGCCUUAUGAAAUCCCCAAUUUAUCUUUAUUCUAUUUUACUUUGUUGACUUCAUUUCUUGAUCUAUUUAUUCCGCCUUCUCUUCUUUGAUGCUUUAAUCUUGUUAAAUGUUGUUGUGUUUUGUUGGUUUCAUUCAGGGAGCACUGUCCCAUGUCUGCCCACUGUUUUCUCGAUGGAUCUGAGUUUGCAACGUCUAGAGGUAUUUUUCUUUCACAUUGGAUUCUUAAUUUUGCUUUCUGUUUAUUUCCCCUAACAUUUUUGUUUUGGUUUGGUUUAUUAGUGGCCGAGGAUUAAACUAAAUUAUAGACAAGCAUAUGUCUGAAUUUUCUUCAUGUGGAACGAUCUAAUCUUCUCUAUGAGGCCAAUGAUCUUGCUCGUUUCUUAAUAUGCAGUUUUAUUUGACGUGUUCUUGGUUGCGUGAUGCCGAUGAUGAUUAGUGUGAACCUUUCUCAAUGAAAUCACUAAUGAUUACAUAACCUACUGCCUUCCUUCUGAGGCACCAUGAUUCCUCGAUUCCUUGUCUUUUUCUGUCAUUUUUUUAUUGUCUCUUGACUUGUUGGUUUGCCAAGGUCGAAUGAUGAUCACAAGUGCAUAGUUCAUAUGAGCAAUUGUGAUUUCUUGAACAAAAAUGGUCUUUCGCUCCUAUCGGAUGACUUUUCAACCUCACCCUUUUUCAGAGGAAUCAAAAAAUUUAGUCUUUAGUCUGUUUUUUUAUUGUAUUUUACAUUUUUAUGCUACUAAGUUAUAAAAUGUAGAUGUCUGAAUUCCUUCGAGGACGGUGAAGAUUGAUAUUUGGUCUCGUUCGUCGUAACUGGCAUUUAUUUGCCUUGCCGACCAUCCUGCUAUAUCACCACCCAUAUUCCGAGUCCUCUUAGUACAUACUCAAGCAUAUAAUUGGUUUGAAAUGUUAAUUACUUUUGCUGUUUGGCCUAUAGAUGAACUAAACUAAUAGACAAGCAUAUGUCUCAAUUCUCUUCAUGUGGAAAGCAUAAUUAGCAAUGAGGUCAAAAUCUGAUUGUUUUUGUACUAGUAGUAUUUGGGUAGGCUGAUUAUGACAAGCGCAUAGCUCAGAUGACCAAACUGUGAUUACAUUAACAAAGCAGUCCUUCGCUAACUUUUGCUUUCCUCUUUAAUUUCAGUUAAAAAUGCAUACGAGGAACCAUAUUCUACUCAGUAAAGUUAUUUUGAUUUGAUGAAUAAUUUUGGAGAAUGUUUUAUUUACUUGAGUUUGGAGCAGUGAUGUGACAAUUACUCAAUAUGAUCUUUCAGGUGUGAUUAUCAAUUGCUAAGUUCUUAAGGAGCUCCAUAUAAGUAUGUGCAGAACUGUAAUCUUAAUGCCAUUGAACACUGGAAAGCCAUUCUACUGACACAGAACCUCUCACAUAGUAGUUGUUCAUGAAAUUAUUGUGCCUAGACAAGUCAAGAAAAAGAGAAGUGAUAGAAUAACAAAAAAAUGACUGAGGAGUAAUAAUUGGAAUUUCAUAUUUUUUGGGGAAUCUUUUAUUAAACGGCACUGUCGGCAAUGUCGGUUGACCAUCUACAGUACAGUACAUACUUUGAUCUUUGCAAUGAUUCUCCAAACCAGUUUGAGGGUGAUGAUUUCAUAUUUGUCGCCCCAGUCUUAGGAUCCGCUUUGGUGGAUCUGUGCUGAUUGGCAUACUAAUCUGACUCAUGAAAUUUUGAACAAUUGGUUUGAUUUUAUUUUCUACUUAUUUUCCUAGGGUGAUGGCAGUUACGAUUUGUAAAUAUUCAAGCUCAACAGACCAAAUCAUAGGUUUUCUCUCAGGAGUUGAUUUGUAUGCCAAUUAUCCUGCUGAACCGAGCCAUCUGACACUUGAGUUUUUAUUAAAACUGUUGUUCAUUGUUCUUAUCUCUGGAUCCUUCACUUCCAUGCUUCUUUUCGUGUUUAUUUAUUUUUGCUUGUAUUGGAGGAUGUAGUUGCAAUGAGGAUAACAAGCUCCCUCUUCUAAAUGCAUUGAUGACAUCGCUGGCAGAAUUGAACCUAUUAAAUAUUGCCACCACUGAGCAACUCUGUAUCUUUGUACAAUCUUUGUUGCUUCUUCUUACAUCUACAAGAUCUGUUUGGAUUGUGAGGAAGUAUUGAUGCAUAAUCCAACACUUGAUCUGAGGGCAGCUUGAGCAGCCCAUCUGAUGUCAUCUUUGCAACUGAAUCCAUCAGAUUUCAGUGUUAUUUUUUCUGAAACAUUGAAACAAUCUUAGGAUACCUUCUGACACGAUGCUUAAUUUUCUGUGAAUGAGAAGUCAUCUGUAUUCUGAUGAUACAUCUUGUUUUCAUCAUUUUUUAUUAUCUUGUCUUCUGAGUUAGAUCUAUAAUACAAUUGAAUCCCAUGAUGAUUAGCUUUAUGUUGGAAUUACCGUCAGAUACCCAAUGACGAUAUUUUUGCGGCUUUCUGAGGCAUAAAACCAAUAGCUUCAGGUCUUCUGUAGUUUUUGCAUUGUUAAUUUCGUUCAACUUAAAUUAUCCCUGUGAAGAUUCUCAGACCAUAGGAAGUGCCAUAUGACACUGUAAACAACAGCUGCUUCUCUCCACUGCAAGUGUCCUCCCUUGAGCAUAGCCUUUGUGGUUUUCUUUCCGUGUUAAUUUCGUUUUCUUUCGGCGAAGAUCCCAGCAGAGAGGUGUUGAAUCUCCCUCGUUGAGGCCUCUCUAACAAAUUUUUAAUCUUCGCACAGUGAGGAGACACCGUGGAUUUUGUGGAUGUGUGAUAUUCCUGGUUCUGUCACAUCUGUUGCUAUGGAUACAUCUUUAUCAUAACCUUCUGUUUUCCAUCCGAGGGACCUAUGGAUGGACAGCCCUUCCCGUGCUGUGUCUACCAAGUUUGCCUUUGGACACUAUAAAGCAAAUUGUUCUUCAAUCAUCUUGCUUCAAACUCUUUAUUUUUUGUGAGGUUGAAACUUUUGCUGACAUUUGAUUUAUGUAUAGCCAAUGAAUUUUUGUUUCUAAUUUUCAGUCUUGCAAAUCAGACCCAACGAGCGACGAUUCAGGCAGCCCUUUUGUCCAUUACAAUGGCAAUGGAGGUGUUGCGUUGCUCGGAGAUUAAAUCUUCUGCUCUUCAGAUUAGCUGAGUGGGAGGCUCUGCUUCCCUCGUUGAAGCUUGUCUAGUAGUCUUAAGAACAUCUAAUAGCCCUCGUUACAAACUUUGUCGAACAUUGUAGUUCUGUGAUGAGCGAUGAUUCAGGCAGCCUCUUUAUCAUUACAGUGGCAUUGGAGGUGUUGCGUUGCUCGGAUAGUAAACCUUUUGCUCUUCAGAUUAGCUGAGGGGGAGGCUCCUGCUUCCCUCCCUGAAAGCUGGUCUAGUAGUCUUAAGAACAUUAUUAUAAGUAUGUUUCUCAUACCCGAUUUUAAUUUUGACCUUUUUUGUUUGUGAAAUGGUAAUUCAAUAAUUGGUUGGUGAUCCAUGAAAACAAAUGAUGAUAGCAAGACAGGGACAUCAGAACCCUGAAUUUCAGGGUUAUGACAGAUUACGUCUAUAAUGGGAAUCUCUCUGAUGUUUUCGAUUCCCCAAGUUAAAUUGAUCUGUUUUUUCCUUUUCAAUCAGUCUUCUUUGGAAUAUGCUCUUGCAAUUCAGAUCUUGGAUGGCAAUGCUCAGCCCAUGGUCGGCCUCAUCGUGCAUACAGCUAGAUAGAUCCAACGAUAUAUAAAGCAGUUACACAAUUGGCAACUGAAGCUUAAUAACAUUUACAUGAAAGUGAACAGAGAUUUUUUAUCUAAAAACAAUGAACAUACUGACCUGGAUCUACUUUUAUUUAUAGGAUAGGAAAAAUGGUGAACUGUUAAUGAACAUGAAACUAACCCAAAGGCUUGCAGAUGGGGCCCUACAAUGGCAAUGCUCAAUUUGAUAUUCUUUUGGUUGAUCAGAGUUUGGUCAGUUCAAUACGCGAAACAAAUCACAUUAGCAUACAGCUAAAAUUGAUCCACAGAUGACAUCUGUUUACAUCAUUUGAAGCUUAGCAAAACUUGUGGAAUUUUAAAUGUCGGCCUUGUCUGAAAAAAAUACCAAUCUGUUGAUGCAUCCGUGCAAAUGUUCUGAGGGACAAUUUCCUUUUGAGAUUUUGAUUUAAUGCUUAAAGCUGUCCGAUGAUGAUCAAACUAAAUACUUUCAUUCUUCUGAUGUGCUAUCUCAUGGCGCUGUGCGGAAGCAAUUUGGAGACCUGAACUGAGGAAAUGCUUGAUUUGUUCUUGCCACUGCAAGAUUUGCUAUUUUUUUCAUGUUUUCUCUGCUUGUACUUUGAGAUGGAAAAUUGUUUUUGUGUUUGUUGCUUCACAACUGGAAGGAUGGCCUGUUGAUAACAGUUUGGUCAUCCCGUAGAGGGAAGCAUAGAUGAAUGGAAACACCGGCCAGUAUUAAACAGCAUGACGCUCUGUCAAACCGCGUCAUGUUACCUGUCUUCUGGCACAUUUCUAACAUCGUACAUAUUUUUAUUUCUCAGAGAUUUUAGUUCCUGAGUCUGUAGCUUGUUAAUUUGGCGGAAGAAAGCCAGCAUUGCACGUGCUUUGGAGGAUUAAACUUGCAGAAAGCUCAGUUAGUUUUGUUCGGUGAUGAUCAAACUAAAUUCUUUUGUUCUUCUGAAGUUCUGAUGCUCUAUCUCAUAGCUUGGUGCAGAAGAACACCUAUGUUUAUCAACCACAAGAGCGUCAUUGCCAAAACAAACGGAUGAACAUAUUAUGCAUUCUGAUUGACAAAGCAAUUUACAUGAUUUUAGCAGAGUCCACUGUACUUGAUCUUUGAGUGACCAAACAACUGACAAGUCUUUGUUGAGAAAACCCUUUGAGAGACCACUGAAUUUGUUCCUGUAGUAGUCGUGGCAUGGGGCCUUGAUUAUUUUUGCAAUGAUGAUACUAUUACCCAGCUCAUUAUGAGACUUCCCUUUGUGGGCAGUCGUGAUAUGAACAUCUCUUUUGUAUCUGAGCCCACUCACAUUUUUCUUAUGAUUUCUUCAUUACAGUUUGGUACAGCCUAUGAAGGCUCUUCCUAGUUUUUGGGAAAAUGAACACAGCUAGACUGUAACUGCUGCAGUGAUGAUAUAAUCCUUGUCUCCCUUUUCUAACAUCCUCGGUUGUAAUAACUGAAUGAGCAAUGAUGUAGGCAGCCUCUUUGUCCGAUUACAUUGGCAAUGGAGGUGUUGUGUUGCUUAAUUUGAUAAUCUUUUGGUUGCUCAUUGUUUGGUCAGAUCAAUAUGCAAAGCAAAUCAGCUGCAACAUUAAACAUACAGCAAGAUUGAUCCAAAGAUGCAUCAGUUUACAUCAUUUGCAACUGAAGCUUAGCACUUGUGCAAUUUUAAGUUUCAACCUUGUCUGGAAAAAUACCAAUCUGUUGAGGGACUAUUUCUUUUCGAGAUCUUUUUUUGUACUGGAUAAAGCUGUCUGAUGAUCAAACUAAAUACUUCAUUCUUCUGAUGCGCUCAGUGCGGAAGCGAGUUAUUGUUAAAAUUGCAUAUUUUUUAUCGUAGUGUUGCAAAUCAAAAUGAUUAUUCUUUCUUCUUGUUGUACUUCUUUUGCGGUAUUUUUUCUUGGCAUACACUCCUUCACAUCUGUAGGAAUGCCCUGAUGUAUACAGUAUUUUUUUAAAACUGCACACAUUGUACUGUCGAAUGCUAGCGGUCAAAUCUAAAAUCUUCUGAUCUUCAGAUUAGCUGAGGGGGAGGCUUUGCUUCCCUCACUGACGCUCGUCUUAAGAACAUUUUCUAUCUGUUUCGAACACAAUUUGGUUUCUUUUACAGUGUCUUAAGGAUGAUCUACCUGUUUCUUACAAAUUUAGUUUCCUUUGUGUUUUGGUUGCGGGUUGCCUACCCAAGGGACCUAUGGAUGGACAGCCCUGCCCGUGCGAAUGUUCAUUAAUCAUCUUUAUGGAUCUCAGUUUUUUCUUGUGAUAAUAAUGUUUGCUGUCAUUUGAUUUAAGUUUGGUUAAACAAAAUAUCUCCUGUAUUAUGUUUUUCAGUCUUAAAAUCAUGAAAAUUAUGGAACAAGUUAUGAUUCAGUGGAAUGGAGGUGUUGUGUUGAUUAGAGAUUAAAUCUUCUGCUCUUUAGAUUAGCUGAGGGGCAGGCUCUGGCUUCCCACUCUGAAGCUUGCCUAGUAGUCUUAAGAACAUUAUCUAUCUUUUUCAAUUCAAUUUGCUAUUCUUUUGUUUGACGUUUUUGACCUAUCAAUCAGUGCUUGGUCAGUUGAGUACGUGAAGUGAGUCACAAUUUUGCUGGUUCUUUUGCAUCUUCUUUUGUGAAAAUUCACCUAGACAACUUGAUGGAGCUAUCAGCGAUUCAGGCAGCCCUUUUUUCUGAUUACAAUGGCAAUGGAGGUGUUGCAUUGCUCGGAGAGUGAAUCUUCUGCUCUUCAGAUUAGCCGAGAAUUAAAGAACCACAUGAUUUGGUUACUCUAUGCUUUGCUGGCAGUAAAUUUCUUGUUUGGGGAUCAACGGAAGCAAAUGAUGAUAGCAAGACAGGGACAUCAGAACCCUGAAUUUCAGGUUAAUGACAGACUACGUCUAUAAUGGGAAUCUCUCUGAUGUUUCUGAUUUUCCCCAAGAUAAAUUGAUCUAUUUUUAUGUCUAUUCUUUUUUCAUAUUUUCUCCUUCUCAUUCUUCUUCGGAAUCCAGAUCUCUUUCCUGUUUGUUAACUUUUGGCUAUUCGGAUCUUGAAUGCGAACACUUCAAGCAGAUCAUGGUCACAAGAUUGUUACACCAUUGGCAACUGAAGCUUAACAACACAUGAAUAUGAUCAGAUAUUUUGUAUUGGAAAAACAGUGAACAUGAUCUUUAGCUGACUCAAGGCUACUUUUAUUCAUAGGAAUAGGAAAGAUGGCGGAUUGCCAUACCUUGCCCAUUCGAAUCCUAUGGGUGCAAAACAAAGGAAUCGAUCCAAGUGUUUUUUUGAUGGAAGCAUAGGAAUGUUUCACACAUCUUUCCAAGAGCUUGCAACUAUAAAAAUCAUAUAAAAAUAAUAUGAAUCACAAGGCCUUGUAAAUAGGGCAUUUGACUGAACAUGAUUAGACGUUUUGACUAAAAAAACAACCUCAUGACCCUAGCGCUGCCUUGAGCUCCCCCUCCUCCUACCUUCCUUCCCUCGCCGCCGCCUCGACAUUCCGCUCGGCUCGGCGGGCGCAGGCCUCAAGGUCGGGCGGUGGCGCUAUGUUGGCUCGGGGCAUGGUGGUGCGGCGGCGGCGGAUACGUGGGCUAUGGGCGGCGGCAUGAAGGGGCUGCAACAGCGGUGGUGUGUGUUGAACAUAUGGGUUGUGCAUGUAUAUUGUGUAACUCGGCCCAUCUCCUAGUCCUUGUAUAGUUGAGGUUGGGGCUCACAUUAUACUCCAUAUAUACGUGCGUUUUGCACCGAUCAAUACAUUAUGUAGCAUUGUCAAACUUGUUUCCAACAUGGUAUCAUACCUUAAAUCCUAAAUCCUAA